UACGUAGGGUGCAAGCGUUAAUCGGAAUUACUGGGCGUAAAGCGUGCGCAGGCGGUUGUGUAAGACAGAUGUGAAAUCCCCGGGCUCAACCUGGGAACUGCAUUUGUGACUGCACAGCUGGAGUGCGGCAGAGGGGAUGGAAUUCCGCGUGUAGCAGUGAAAUGCGUAGAUAUGCGGAGGAACACCGAUGGCGAAGGCAAUCCCUGGGCCUGCACUGACGCUCAUGCACGAAAGCGUGGGGAGCAAACAGG
rnacentral:rRNA from 1 species